CGGCCUGUAGUUUUCGGUUAAUCUGUACGCUCAACGUACAGGCUGCCGGGAAUACUGCAAAGCUAGGGAGUGGGAGAGGUAGACGGUACUCGGUAGGAAGGGGUAAAAUCCUUUGAUCUAUUGAUGACCACCUGUGGCGAAGGCGGUCUACCAGAACACGUCCGACGGUGAGGGAUGAAAGCUGGGGGAGCAAACCGGAUUAGAUACCCGGGUAGUCCCAGCUGUAAACCAUGCAAACUCAGUGAUGCAUUGGCUUGUGGCCAAUGCAGUGCUGCAGGGAAGCCGUUAAGUUUGCCGCCUGGGAAGUACGUACGCAAGUAUGAAACUUAAAGGAAUUGGCGGGGGAGCACCACAAGGGGUGAAGCCUGCGGUUCAAUUGGAGUCAACGCCAGAAAUCUUACCCGGAGAGACAGCAGAAUGAAGGUCAAGCUGAAGACUUUACCAGACAAGCUGAGAGGUGGUGCAUGGCCGUCGCCAGCUCGUGCCGUGAGAUGUCCUGUUAAGUCAGGUAACGAGCGAGGUCCCUGC
rnacentral:rRNA from 1 species